AUGCAAAUUCGAAAUGAAAGCCCGGAAACCCCGGAACUAGAACUGGUAUCUCUUCAACUACCUGUGAAAACUGAUGUGAUGAAAAGGGGAAUUUGAAGGAGCCAUUCCAGAAGACAGGGCGAAAACUGAAGUGCAAUCAGGGCCAAGAAAAACAGAAAUAGCAGGACCUGGAGUUGCAUAGGUUGAAUAGUUGAAUAGGCUGCUCUCCUCAGCUGGCAGGAAACCUGGCAGCCUCCUGGUGCCCAAGGACUGAAAACCUUAGAAGCACCUGGAGUUGGCAGCCUUGGCAUGGUCAGGUUGGCACCUCUGGAGGUGCCCAGGCUUCCCUGGCAGCAUUGUGAGCAGUGGAUGGUGUUGAAGGGCAGCCAGAGGAGGAAUGGAACACAUGCUCCUUGCUAACCACACGGACAAGGCCACGUUCACAGGUACACAAAGGCAACGCAGUUGCUCAGGUGCUUCGGUAUCACAGCCAAGACCCCUUCGGGGGAAGCUAGUCGGAUACUGGGACCCACAUUCCAGACUACUGAGCCGCGGUCGCGCCCUCGGCUCCGUUUCUGCUCCCUCCACCCCACGAGGACGGGGGUGGAAGGCCACCUUCGAUGGGUGCAUCCUCCACGAUGACCUGCUAACAAAGGUGCAUGGAUUUCAGAGUCUGAUUGGCCUACAACAGCAUUUGGCUUGUGGAGACAGUGGUUCCCUGAUGAAAAACUGCCAUGAUACCCUGCACUUGAUGGAUCAGCUGGCACCACCCAGACUGAUUAACUGGCUCAUGUGAUCUUGUGGUCCCCACCCAGGAACUUAAUCAGCACAAGGAGACAGCUUCAACUCCCUAUGAUUUCAUCCCUGACCAAUCAGCACUCCUGGGCUCACUGGCUUCCCCCUACCCACCAAGUUGUCCUUAAAAAGUCUGCUCCCCAAAUGCUCGGGUAGACUGAUUUGGGUAAUAAUAAAACUCCGGUCUCCCACACAGCCA
rnacentral:lncRNA from 1 species